UACCCGGUGGUGUAAUUGGUAACACAGGAGGUUUUGGUCCUCCCAUUCCAGGUUCGAGUCCUGGCCGGGUAGCCA
rnacentral:tRNA from 1 species